UUCCGACUUGAGAGCUUCUUUGAGAGAGAUCUGCGCAAAUAGAUGAUAAGAUAAUGAUAAUGAUUCUGAAUUCAGUGCAACCCAGGACCAUGGCAGCGAAUAGACCAAGUCCCAAGACGAGGAACACACCACCAACAUUCUCCAGACCCAAUUCUGGCGUAUCACCUCCAUCAUCAGAGCUCUUCUCGCAACUGCCCCCGCCAUGCAUCUCUUUCCACCAUUUACGCUUCAGCUCCGACAAUUGGCCCAGUUCACCAAGUUUCAGAACAGCUCCACUGAUUUGUUUGCGAUACGGUGAAUCUAGGAGGAAAUCAUUUAAACUUAAUCUGAAUAAAGUCUGAUUUAAGUUUCACUUACUAAAAGGCAUA